rnacentral:rRNA from 1 species
UAGGGAAUCUUCGGCAAUGGACGGAAGUCUGACCGAGCAACGCCGCGCGAGUGCAGAAGGUUUUCGGAUCGUAAAGCCCUGUUGUUAGAGAAGAACGUUGGUAGGAGUGGAAAAUCUACCAAGUGACGGUAACUAACCAGAAAGGGACGGCUAACUACGUGCCAGCAGCCGCGGUAAUACGUAGGUCCCGAGCGUUGUCCGGAUCUAUUGGGCGUAAAGCGAGCGCAGGCGGUUCUUUAAGUCUGAAGUUAAAGGCAGUGGCUUAACCAUUGUACGCUUUGGAAACUGGAGGACUUGAGUGCAGAAGGGGAGGGUGGAAUUCCAUGUGUAGCGGUGAAAUGCGUGGAUAUAUGGAGGAACACCGGUGGCGAAAGCGGCUCUCUGGUCUGUAACUGACGCUGAGGCUCGAAAGCGUGGGGAGCAAACAGG